rnacentral:tRNA from 1 species
GCGGUCGUGGCGGAAUUGGUAGACGCGCAGCGUUGAGGUCGCUGUGGGAGAAAUCCUGUGGAGGUUCAAGUCCUCUCGACCGCACCA